GGAAUAUUGGUCAAUGGAGGCAACUCUGAACCAGCCAUGCCGCGUGCAGGACGAAGGCCCUCUGGGUUGUAAACUGCUUUUGAAUGGGAAGAAAUGUUAGUUUGCGAACUAAUUUGACGGUACCAUUAGAAUAAGCCACGGCUAACUACGUGCCAGCAGCCGCGGUAAUACGUAGGUGGCGAGCGUUAUCCGGAUUUAUUGGGUUUAAAGGGUGCGUAGGCGGUUUAUUAAGUCGAUGGUGAAAGGUAGC
rnacentral:rRNA from 1 species